rnacentral:lncRNA from 1 species
GUGUAAGUUGGACACCACCUGGUCGCACAACUGUAUUGCUGUGCCCUUCUACUCAUGAGCAGUGCUGCCUGGAUGAAACCUCGAAGGGAUUCAAGCAUUUAACUGAGCCAGCUGCCUCCAUCAUGUUCUUAGUGCUUCCUAAGGCCCAAGGGGGUUCAUGAGAGUAGAACUGUGAGCCAACAAUUGAGGGAGGGCUUGAGGGUUUUAGACAGUUGCUUUGAACACUGAUUAGCAGACAAAUAUCUGUGCACAGGGGCAAUGCGGGGCCCCUCGUUGACAUAGAACAAGCCUCUGAGGGCGGACCUCCUGAAUAUAUCAGUAUAGGUCAGGGCAGUAUAAUCUGGAGUUCACUGUGGGGGCUCAGCACCUAGAACAGGAAAAAAAAAAAAAAAACCCUGAGGCUGGACUGGUCAUUGGAAUUGGUGUCAGGCAAGAGGGCCCUGCUAUGAGGAGAGAAGAGCUGGGGGCUGGGGACUGGAGCAGGAAGGGACCCAGUCAAGGCCAACACUGA